CCGCAGGCAGACCAUUUCUUCUGCCACCGAAUACAUUAGCAUGGGAUAAUGGAAUAGGACCCUGUCCUCCUAUUUUGCGUGUUGGUUUUCGAGGACCGGGUAAUGAUUAAUAGGGAUAGUUGGGGGCAUUAAUAUUUAAUUGUCAGAGGUGAAAUUCUUGGAUUUAUGAAAGAUUGACUUCUGCGAAAGCAUCUGCCAAGGAUGUUUUCAUUAAUCAAGAACGAAAGUUAGGGGAUCGAAGACGAUCAGAUACCGUCGUAGUCUUAACCAUAAACGAUGCCGACCAGCGAUUAGGAGACGUUGAAUACAAAACACCACCGUCGGGUCGGCCGUCCUUGGCCGUCGUGCGCGGCGACGCGCGCGGCGGCGAGGGCGGUGUCUGCCCGACGGCCCGGUGAAUGACUCCCCUACCAGCUUGUG
rnacentral:rRNA from 1 species